rnacentral:rRNA from 1 species
AACGAACGCUGGCGGCAUGCCUAACGCAUGCAAGUCGAACGAGACCUUCGGGUCUAGUGGCGCACGGGUGCGUAACGCGUGGGAACCUGCCUUUAGGUUCGGAAUAACUCAGAGAAAUUUGAGCUAAUACCGGAUAAUGUCUUCGGACCAAAGAUUUAUCGCCUUUAGAUGGGCCCGCGUAAGAUUAGCUAGUUGGUGGGGUAAAGCCUACCAAGGCGACGAUCUUUAGCUGGUCUGAGAGGAUGAUCAGCCACACUGGGACUGAGACACGGCCCAGACUCCUACGGGAGGCAGCAGUGGGGAAUAUUGCGCAAUGGGCGAAAGCCUGACGCAGCGACGCCGCGUGGGUGAUGAAGGCCUCGGUCGUAAGCCUGUCGCAGGGAGAAUAAGC